CAGUCGCCGCGGUAAUACGUAGGGUGCAAGCGUUAAUCGGAAUUACUGGGCGUAAAGCGUGCGCAGGCGGCUAUGCAAGACAGAUGUGAAAUCCCCGGGCUCAACCUGGGAACUGCAUUUGUGACUGCAUGGCUAGAGUACGGUAGAGGGGGAUGGAAUUCCGCGUGUAGCAGUGAAAUGCGUAGAUAUGCGGAGGAACACCGAUGGCGAAGGCAAUCCCCUGGACCUGUACUGACGCUCAUGCACGAAAGCGUGGGGAGCAAACAGGAUUAGAUACCCGUGUAGUCCCUGUCUCUUAUAC
rnacentral:rRNA from 1 species